AUCAAUUGAGCAGAUUUUUCUUUUUUAAUCUAGAACACUGCGAAAAACACAAUUACACUAGUAAAAUCAUGAAUUAAAAUUAAUUAAUGAGUUAAUCACAUUUAUUUAAUCACUUAAUCACAUUUGCAGUUACGUUAUUAAAAAUUAAUUUCGAUAUCAUGUCGAAUGCAACAAAAGUCGAUAAUGAAAAAAAGAUCGAAAAAUCUCGAUAAUCGAAUGAUGAUCGCGUGGCGACAUCUAUUUUUAGGUGGAAUUAAUGCAAAAAGAAGGAUACCAUCGGGAGGUAAUAUAGAAUGAGGUCAUCAUAUCGCGUGCCAAAUUAAAAUCAUUCAAUCAUCUAGGAACUGAUAGAUGGAUCCACUAUUAAUAAAUUAACAUGUUCCAAGUAAUUGAAUACCUAGUGAAUGAAGUUAUUGGGUCACUCUUCGUGUAUCUGAUCUUCUAAUAUUACCAUUUUAUUAGAAUAUUCUACAACCGAAAAGUAUUAAUUGAGAGUAUUAAAUUAAAAAAUUAAUUCGAAUUGAAUCAAUCUGAUUUUGAUAUAAAUUCCACUUAAAAAAAAUAUCAGAAACAUGAUGCAACUGGUACGAGGACAUGUAAUCUAAAUCAUCAGGUGGAUAAAAGCCAAAAUAAAACGUCUAACUUAACCUCAAAUCUAAUUUCAAUGAAAAUUCCGCUUGAAAAAGUAUUAGGAAUGAAGUAUAACCAGAACAAGCAUAGUGUAAUUAAAUCAUCAAGUGGAUAAGGGUUGAAACAAAACAGCCUUCAUGCUUUUAACCCCCUUUACGGUAACCAAAUAAUCGAUCCCACGUGGCUGUGCGCAAUCACAGUUGACCUAGGGCUACCGAGAAUUAUGCUAGGAAUCUCAUAAGCCACGUCCAUCACCGACCGAAUGUCUCGGUCUUCAAUUCAAUCAAGGGAACUAUUCAUACGACACAUUCUAUGUCAAGCUCGCGUUGAUUCAUUAAGAAUCAAUAAAAUCUUCGACCGCAUGCACCUGAAUUUACUUCAUGUGGAAAAUUUCUCUUGCUGAUCUACUACAUCUUUUUAUUCCUGAAUAGCUUGAUGUAGACUUAUAAACAACACCGCUACACUUCUCGAGUAAACGACCAAUCGGUCCCUUGCGAUUCUUAGAGAACGUAGAGAACAUGUUCCAGAGAAAUAUUUGUGCAGGAAAAAACGGCAUAAUGAUCAUGAUGCACGUGCAAUGAUAAACAGUCAUGCUCCCUAUGGAUUUUCCUUGUAUAAAUUUUCAAAAACUCGCAUGUUCUUGCAAUAUUUUUGAACAAGAAAACACUUCUGAUUCAAAAUUGCAGAGAUUUAAAAUUUUUUCUUUUUAUCCAUAUUUCUGAAUUCAAACUAUAUAUAUACACUUUAUAUUUUAUUUUAAUCUAUCCAUUAAAUAUUUUUACAGAAAAAGAAAUGAUUUU